rnacentral:rRNA from 1 species
GACGAACGCUGGCGGCGUGCUUAACACAUGCCAGUCGAACGGAAAGGCCCUGCUUUUGUGGGGUGCUCGAGUGGCGAACGGGUGAGUAACACGUGAGUAACCUGCCCUUGACUUUGGGAUAACUUCAGGAAACUGGGGCUAAUACCGGAUAGGAGCUCCUGCUGCAUGGUGGGGGUUGGAAAGUUUCGGCGGUUGGGGAUGGACUCGCGGCUUAUCAGCUUGUUGGUGGGGUAGUGGCUUACCAAGGCUUUGACGGGUAGCCGGCCUGGGAGGGUGACCGGCCACAUUGGGACUGAGAUACGGCCCAGAGUCAUACGGGAGGCAGCAGUGGGGAAUAUUGCACAAUGGGCGGCAGCCUGAUGCAGCAACGCCGCGUGCGGGAUGACGGCCUUCGGGUUGUAAACCGCUUUCGCCUGUGACGAAGCGUGAGUGACGGUAAUGUGUAAAGAAGCACCGGCUAACUACGUG